UUAAAAGCCAAUAAUUUUUACUUUCAGAAAUACACGAGAACACACAACCUAGGGUCUCUCCACUUCUCAUACCAUCCUCCGGAUAAGUAUUUCUUUCAGUCAUACCGGUCGAAGAACUACAAGAAUUAUUUCGUCUAUUCACCAAGCGGAAAUGU